UGUAAAAGGGCUAAACUCCAAGCAACAUUGCCUCUUGGAGAGUCCGACGGAAGCGGGAAAAGCUUGGCCUUGCUCUGCUCAGCUUUGUCAUGGCAACAAGCACAAUACGACAAGCCCCUGGACAACAUGUCAGGUUCAAAGGAAUCCAAGAAGCCAGAGCCCUUGAUGCCAUGCCGUUGUGGUUGCCACACUAGCCGCACAACUCAGAGCCCGGAUGGGGCGAAGCAGGACCAAGCGGCCUCUGAUGCCUUCACCAACGGUGCCCCCGCCAUGCCCACCAGCAGUGGAAAUACGUCCAGAAACGAAGACUCUGUUUUGUUCCCUUUUGAUGGAAAGCACACAGCGAAAACCACACUUGCUUCCAAACUAUUUGCAAAGAAACAGGCUUCUUUGCAGGAAGGGGAAGAUGAUGAUUUUAAAGUUGAUAGGAAGCGGAUUCGUUCACUGGAAACUGAAGAGCAGGCUAGAAAACGACACCGACUGGCUAAAGGGGUCCAGUUUGUCGAUGCCUUGGAAAUUUAUCAGCAGCAUAAAAAUGGGGAAUUGAUUGUGUCUUCUGGGAAAACUACGCCUUCCUCUCUCAAAACAGUAAGUACAGCAGACCUGGAUUGUAAUGGUAAAAAAGAAACAUAAAACAUGGUUGUCGAUGUUAUAUUAAAUGUAGCUAUGGAUAGGAAACGAAGUAACCUCUGUUGGAGAUGUGGCAUGAAUAAAGGAUGCUGUCAUGAGAUUUGCUUCUCCUGAGCGGACUUUGACCCCUUGGUUCUGUGCAAGUCAGGUUGUGUGCCUCAUUCAGUUUUUCAUGGAUUUUUGCAUCCCAAACUUACCUGUAAAUAGGGUUGUUGCAUGUCUUUCGGGCUGUGUGGCCAUGUUCCAGAAGUAUUCUCUCCUGAUGUUUCGCCC
rnacentral:lncRNA from 11 species